UACGAGGGGCCCAAACGUUAUUCGGAAUUACUGGGCUUAAAGAGUUCGUAGGCGGCUCAGAAAGUAGGGUGUGAAAGCCCUCGGCUCAACCGAGGAAUUGCGCUCUAAACUACUGUGCUUGAGGGAGCUAGAGGUGAGCGGAACUGAUGGUGGAGCGGUGAAAUGCGUUGAUAUCAGCAGGAACACCGGAGGCGAAGGCGGCUCACUGGGGGUAUUCUGACGCUGAGGAACGAAAGCCAGGGGAGCGAACGGG
rnacentral:rRNA from 1 species